GGGUCUAUCCAAAACUAUAAGUCGGCAGGUUUCUUCCUGUAUAGCGUCUUUAGUUAAAACAAUAAAUUGUUUAGAUUUAUUAAACUGUUCUAGAAAAUAAGAACGAUUAUAGUUGCCGAUAGCAGUUUGAUAUGCUGUUUUAUAAUGAUUACUGUUAUUAGUAUGAUAAUCUAAAAGCUCAAGUAAAGAAACAUAAUAAUUGACAAAAUCAAUAUUUAAAACUUACAGUAGAGUUCUGUAGAUCUUCAAUACUUCAAACUUUUAUAUAUAUUAGAAAUUUUACAGGAGAGAGGGAGAAUGCAAAGACAAUCUAAAGAAAAAGAAACGCCUCAACAAGGGUGAGGGCAUCCCAAUUUAUACAAAAAAGAAGAUACGAAAGGAUCAGGCGUGUCCUUGCUAGUGGAGUCGAUCAGUAAUCCUUUUCUUUUUUUCUUUAACUCUCAGCCGUAGGAAGUGGAAGGCAUGAGACAGGUUGUCAGUUGAGUGGAGCAUUAUUGCUGCCAGCUGGCGUCAUUUUCUGAUAAUUGAAGGAGCAAGUGGCUUUUCGUUUCUGAUGGUGGAAACACUGUGGUUGUCCUAUUCUGAUUAUUGGUCAUCUUUUCUGUAGU
rnacentral:lncRNA from 1 species